UAACAGAUUGUGAUCUUCAUGUUUAGUUUUUGAGCAGGAAAAAACAUUUCGUUUUGUGGAGCCAUCAUUCCAAGUCCCAUCUCCUUGACCUGGUUGUCCGAGGCUACAAUCAAAGUUGUAAAUAAUAAAAAUACACUUUUUUUCAAUUUAUGUUUAUGUCCUACAUUAGAGUACUAUAAAACAGUAUAUAAUGUAGAAAAAAACGAAGAAUGUAAAAACUAUACAAAACUGGAAUAAAACAGAUUUUAUUGAACUACUUUUGCAUAUUUACAAAGCCCUGUAGAAAAAUGACUGGCACUGAAACCCUUGACCGUUUACACGUUUGGUUAUGGCCUUAUUCUAAAAAUUGAUUACAUUGUUUUUUCCCCCUCAUCAAAUCUACACACAAUACCCCAUAAUGCCAAAGCAAAAAUAGGUUUUUAGAAAAUGGUCCAAAUGUAUAAAAAAAAUAUAUAUAUAUCACAUUCAGAACCUUUACUCAGUACUUUGUUGAAGCACAUUUGCCAGCGAUUACAGCCUUGAGUUUUCUUGGGUAUGACAGUACAAGCUUGGCACACCUGUAUUUGGGGAGUUUCUCCCAUUCUCCUCUGCAGAUCCUAUCAAGCCCUUUCAGGUUGGAUGGGGAGUGUCGCUGCACAGCUAUUUUCAGGUCUCUCCAGAGAUGUUCGAUCAGUGCUGCAGACAAGGUUGUCCUUCUGGAAAAUUCUCCCAUCUCCACAGAUUAACUCUGGAGCUCUGUCAGAGUGACCAUUGGGUUCCUGGUCACCUCCCUGACCAAGGCCCUUCUCCCCUGAUUGCUCAGUUUGGCCAGGCUGCCAGCUCUAAGACUCGAGGUGGUUUCAAACUGCUUCCAUUUAAGAAUGAUGGAGGCCACUCUGUUCUUGGGGACCUUCAAUACUUCCCCAGAUCUGUGCCUUGACACAAUCCUGUCUCAGAGCUCUAUGGACAAUUCCUUCGACCUCAGGACUUUGUUUUUACUCUGACAUGCACUGUCAACUGUGGGACCUUAUAUAGACAGUUGUGUGCCUUUCCACAUCAUGUCCAAGCAAUUGAAUAUACCACAGGUGGACUCCAAUGGAAACAGGAUGCACCGGAGCUCAAUUUAGAGUCUUCUAGCAAAGGGGCUAAAUACUUAUGUAAAUAAGGUAUUUCUGUUUUUUUUUUUUCUGUACAUUUUCAAACAUUUCUAAAAACCUGUUUUCACUUUGUCAUUACAGGGUAUUGUGUGUUGAUUGAUGACCACAUUUGUUAAUUUAAUCCAUUUUUGAAUACGGCUGUAACGUUAACAAAAUGGGGGAAAAGUCAAGGGGUCUGAAUACUUUCCGAACGCGCUGUAUACUGAAGACCCCACCCCAUAAGACUGAAUUCGAUUUUUCUCUUUAAGAGUUGAAUAACAGUAUAUUUCCCAAGUUUCAAAUAAAGACAUUUAGUUUAUGAAAUUGCUCCUAAAAUGAACACCCCUGUCCACUCCUCUGAUGGAGACAAAAAAAAUGCAGAACUGCUGGUGUCAAAUAUAUGAUCAACUAGUGUGGGUACUCCUGGGGCGGUGACCGUAUUACCACAACACCGGCUUUCUCCAAGCUCUGAUGCUGCUGACGGUCAUUAGUAGUCUACCAAGAUUGCUAACUGCUUGCUACUCAGCACUCAAUUGUCUCUCUAAUCACUCUGUCAUCAAUGCAAAUGUAUCAAAAAUGUAAUCAAACACUUCAUGAGAGCCCAUGAGCUACUGUUGCGCAACAUUUCUAUAGGCUAUGAAAUUACACGAGAAAACAGAGGAGGAUCCCAUCAGCUUUCUAUAGGCUAGGCCUACUAUAUUUAUUUCUCAUUAUCAUUUAUUUUGCUUCUCUUUACAACAGUAUAGCCUACCUGGCUGGCAUGAAAAUGAACCACAGGAAAAGCGUCCUCCAUUCACUAUUUAAGUCCAUAGAUGACAUGUAUUGUUGUCCCGUUGACCCUGUUUCCAUACAGGUGCAUGAUAAUGAUCCAUUCUAAAUCAAAACACAUUUCACAGAUAUAUUAUUUAGUAUAUGUAAAGACAAGAUUAAAUCAAGAAUAGUCUGAUGGGUGACAAUAUUAGCUUAUCACUAAUAUUGAUAGGCUGAUAUUGCAAGAAACAAUCCCUUUUUUUGUGAAUUGUUCUAAUCAUAGUCACACACCUCAUGUAGCCUAGCCCAUAGGUCUAUAUGUUUUAAUAAGGUUAGUAUCACACCUCAUGUAGCCUAGUCCAUAGGUCUAUAUGUUUUAAUAAGGUUAGUAUCACACCUCAUGUAGCCUAGUCCAUAGGUCUAUAUGUUUUAAUAAGGUUAGUAUCACACCUCAUGUAGCCUAGUCCAUAGGCCGAUAUGUUUUAAUAAGGUUAGUAUCACACCUCAUGUAGCCUAGCCCAUAGGUCUAUAUGUUUUGAUAAGGUUAGUAUCACACCUCAUGUAGCCUAGUCCAUAGGUCUAUAUGUUUUGAUAAGGUUAGUAUCACACCUCAUUUAGCCUAGUCCAUAGGCCUAUAUGUUUUAAUAAGGUUAGUAUCACACCUCAUGUAGCCUAGCCCAUAGGCCUAUAAGGUUAGUAUCACACCUCAUGUAGCCUAGUCCAUAGGCCUAUAUGUUUUGAUAAGGUUAGUAUCACACCUCAUGUAGCCUAGUCCAUAGGUCUAUAUGUUUUAAUAAGGUUAGUAUCACACCUCAUGUAGCCUAGCCCAUAGGUCUAUAUGUUUUAAUAAGGUUAGUAUCACACCUCAUGUAGCCUAGCCCAUAGGCCUAUAUGUUUUAAUAAUGUUAGUAUCACACCUCAUGUAGCCUAGCCCAUAGGCCUAUAUGUUUUAAUAAUGUUAGUAUCACACCUCAUGUAGCCUAGCCCAUAGGCCUAUAUGUUUUAAUAAUGUUAGUAUCACACCUCAUGUAGCCUAGCCCAUAGGUCUAUAUGUUUUAAUAAGGUUAGUAUCACACCUCAUGUAGCCUAGUCCAUAGGCCUAUAUGUUUUAAUAAGGUUAGUAUCACACCUCAUGUAGCCUAGCCCAUAGGUCUAUAUGUUUUAAUAAGGUUAGUAUCACACCUCAUGUAGCCUAGCCCAUAAGCCUAUAUGUUUUAAUAAGGUUUGUAUCACACCUCAUGUAGCCUAGCCCAUAGGUCUAUAUGUUUUGAUAAGGUUAGUAUCACAUCUAAAGUGGCCAAAUAUUUUCUUAAAAUGAAGUACCUUUAUCUGCUUUACAAGGGGGGUAGAGCCUAACUGGCAUACAUACUUAAGCAGCGCGUGAGUCUCAAGUUCGGGGAAGAACAUUUUCAGCAUAAAAAUGCACCUUUAUAAUAAAAGCAUUACAUGCAAAUAGCAUUUGAAAGUCACUUUUGAUAAUGGCUACUACCAUGUGUGCAUUGCUGCGCUUAUAAUGUGAUGAAAUAGCCUAAUAUAUUAUCACAUU